CUCCGGUCCUUCUGCUCCACGAGCCCCAAUCGUGUCGCCGCAGGAGCCACUGCCUCCGUAUGCCGUGGAGGCAAGGUCGGCCCUGAGCGGGUGCAUCCGGGGGAGAAUUGGUGCAACCUCACUGGGCCCCAAAAUCCAAGGAUCCCCCGGCAGAGUAGUUUAUUUGCCUGUUUUGCCGCGGCUGAGAACAAGAUCUUGAUUGAUAUUAUACAAAUAUAUCUCCUCGAUUCGCAUUCUCUCCAUAGAAUCGAGAUACCAAAGAGGAUUUGACUGAGUAGAAAUCAUCUUCUACUUGACUGAAGUACCUGACUGAACCAAAAGGGGAUUUGCUUCCUACUGUGGCGACAUCCAGUCCCGGGACCAGGUGUUCUUGUUUCAACUUAUGCCAUAUUUUUUUGUAAUCUUUGUGUGCUAAGAUGUCAACUAAAAAGUAUUUUUUUACAGGAAUUAUGCAAACGAGCAGAUGAGUUAUAGAAUCCCAAAAGGAGCAAAUGUAGCACUUGACAAAAGAAAAUUACUAUUUCCUCCAAUUCAUAUUACUUGCCGUUAGUAUGGAUGUAUCUACAACUAAAAUAUCUCUAGAUAUAUCUACAUAGAAAUAAUUAAUAUGGAUUGAAGGGAGUAGUACAAAUACUAUUUCUAAAAUCAUAUCUUGAAACCUCUAUCUAUUGUACAAGUACAACCAAAUAAGGGAGGCCUAUAU